GACGAACGCUGGCGGCGUGCUUAACACAUGCAAGUCGAGCGGUAAGGCCCUUUCGGGGUACACGAGCGGCGAACGGGUGAGUAACACGUGGGUGACCUGCCCUCAGCUCUGGGAUAAGCCUGGGAAACCGGGUCUAAUACCGGAUAUGACUCCAUGACGCAUGUUGUGGGGUGGAAAGCCUUGUGCGGCUGAGGAUGGGCCCGCGGCCUAUCAGCUUGUUGGUGGGGUGANGGCCUACCAAGGCGACGACGGGUAGCCGGCCUGAGAGGGCGACCGGCCACACUGGGACUGAGACACGGCCCAGACUCCUACGGGAGGCAGCAGUGGGGAAUCUUGCGCAAUGGGCGAAAGCCUGACGCAGCGACGCCGCGUGA
rnacentral:rRNA from 1 species